GAUGAACGCUGGCGGCGUGCCUAAUACAUGCAAGUCGAGCGAACAGACGCGGAGCUUGUUCCUCUGACGUUAGCGGCGGACGGGUGAGUAACACGUGGAUAACCUACCUAUAAGACUGGGAUAACUUCGGGAAACCGGAGCUAAUACCGGAUAAUAUAUUGAACCGCAUGGUUCAAUAGUGAAAGACGGUUUUGCUGUCACUUAUCGAUGGAUCCGCGCCGCAUUAGCUAGUUGGUAAGGUAACGGCUUACCAAGGCGACGAUGCGUAGCCGACCUGAGAGGGUGAUCGGCCACACUGGAACUGAGACACGGUCCAGACUCCUACGGGAGGCAGCAGUAGGGAAUCUUCCGCAAUGGGCGAAAGCUUGACGGAGCAACGCCGCGUGAGUGAUGAAGGUCUUCGGAUCGUAAAACUCUGUUAUUAGGGAAGAACAAAUGUGUAAGUAACUAUGCACGUCUUGACGGUACCUAAUCAGAAAGCCACGGCUAACUACGUG
rnacentral:rRNA from 1 species